GUCCAGGGGCGGGAAUCGAACCCACACCCUUCUGCUUACCGGGCAGGUGCCACUCUUGUGCCACCUUGUCCACUCGGCUACCCUGGA